rnacentral:rRNA from 1 species
UACGAAGGGGGCUAGCGUUGCUCGGAAUGACUGGGCGUAAAGGGCGCGUAGGCGGUUUGUACAGUCAGGUGUGAAAUUCCCGGGCUCAACCUGGGGGCUGCACUUGAUACGUAGGAACUGGAGUGGGGAAGAGGGUCGUGGAAUUCCCAGUGUAGAAGUGAAAUUCGUAGAUAUUGGGAAGAACACCGGUGGCGAAGGCGGCGACCUGGUCCUUGACUGACGCUGAGGCGCGAAAGCGUGGGGAGCAAACAGG